rfam:Triticum aestivum genome assembly, contig: Triticum_aestivum_CS42_TGACv1_scaffold_622945_7DS
UAUCUACUCCCUCCGUUCGGAAUUACUUAUCGCAGAAAUGGAUGUAUUUAGACGUAUUUUAGUUCUAGAUAUAUCUAUUUCCGAGACAAGUACUUCCGAACGGAGGGAGUACUAA